CACUUCGCCCUCCAGCCGCGGUGGCUGCAGCGCAACUUCCAGGUAGCGGAGUGGCCUCAGCUGCGAGCCGAGCGGUGGCGGCAGCGCCCCUCAGGACACCCGCAGAUCACCUUUUCCCCGCGACUUCGCCAUGGCUGAGUGUUGUGUGCCAGUAUGCCCAGGGCCGAUGUGUAUCCCUCCACCGUAUGCUGACCUCGGCAAAGCUGCCAGAGACAUUUUCAACAAAGGAUUUGGCUUUGGGUUGGUGAAGCUGGAUGUGAAGACGAAGUCAUGCAGUGGUGUGGAAUUUUCAACAUCUGGCUCAUCUAAUACAGACACUGGCAAAGUUAGUGGGACCUUGGAGACCAAGUACAAAUGGUGUGAGUAUGGUCUGACUUUCACAGAGAAAUGGAACACCGAUAACACUCUGGGGACAGAGAUUGCAAUUGAAGACCAGAUUUGUCAAGGUUUGAAACUGACUUUUGACACCACCUUUUCACCAAACACAGGAAAGAAAAGUGGUAAAAUCAAGUCUGCUUACAAGAGGGAAUGUAUAAACCUUGGCUGUGAUGUUGACUUUGAUUUUGCUGGACCUGCCAUCCAUGGGUCAGCUGUCUUUGGUUACGAGGGCUGGCUUGCUGGGUACCAAAUGACCUUUGACAGUGCCAAGUCAAAGCUGACCAGGAGUAACUUUGCAGUCGGCUACAGGACUGGGGACUUCCAGCUACACACAAAUGUAAAUAAUGGGACAGAAUUUGGAGGAUCAAUUUAUCAGAAAGUAUGUGAAGAUUUUGACACUUCAGUAAACCUUGCUUGGACAUCAGGUACCAACUGCACUCGUUUUGGCAUUGCAGCUAAAUACCAGUUGGAUCCCACUGCUUCUAUUUCUGCAAAGGUCAACAACUCUAGUUUAAUUGGAGUGGGCUAUACUCAGACUCUGAGGCCUGGUGUGAAGCUUACACUCUCCGCCCUGGUAGACGGGAAGAGCUUUAAUGCUGGAGGCCACAAGCUCGGGCUCGCCCUGGAGUUGGAGGCUUAGAGAGACCUCUGGGAACGACUGUCAGAAGAUUUGGCCUUAAUAUAUUUCCAUGCGACCAGCAGGCUCCCCCUUCCCCCCCAGAAGGUGAUCACAUCAAAGGAUGAUUAAGCAAGAGCUGUAUUUUAAAUAUUUAGACAGUCACCUAUUGGCUGGUUCCUCGUUGGAUGGUUAUAGUUGGCAGUGCUGCCGUGGUGCGGCCUCCUAUACAUUAUUUAAAUGUAUUUAACUGUUAAAUGUGCUACCCACCGAUGAUGAAAUAGACGUUUAUGAAAACC